UACGGAGGGUGCGAACGUUAAUCGGAAUCACUGGGCGUAAAGCGCGCGUAGGCGGUCUGUUAAGUGGGAUGUGAAAUCCCCGGGCUUAACCUGGGAAUUGCAUUUCAAACUGGCCGACUAGAGUACGGUAGAGGGAGGUAGAAUUUCCUGUGUAGCGGUGAAAUGCGCAGAUAUCGGGAGGAACACCCGUAGCGAAGGCGGCACUCUGGGCCGGAACUGACGCUGAGGAGCGAAAGCGUGGGAAGCAAACAGG
rnacentral:rRNA from 1 species